CCUUACCUGCUGUGGUCCAUGGGUCGCAAAGUGUCAGACACGACUGAGUGAUUGAACUGGUGGAGGUUAAAACUACUGUCCCCACCUUCCCGCCCCCGGUGUGUCCCAGCAUCGCUCUGAGAGAAGUUCUGAAAUCCUUUAUCUUAACUGCCGAAUCCCUGGGGCCCACAUCACAUUUCUGGUAGUAUCGUUCUAGGAUCCAUAUCCUUCUCUGGCUGUCCUACCUUCUAACGUGUAGGCGCCGCUGCUUCAAGUCCUGCAUUGCUCAACCCCUCCGUCUCUGAUCCAUGAAGAGUUGAACGAGGCUCUAUUCUGUAUGCAGAAUCCUGGCUGUGUCCGUGGCCGUAGAGGAUUGUGAUUUGUACCUGCUGAGAUCCUCCCUCUGUGUGGGGCUGUGUUACAGGGAGCUCGCUAUGUUUUUCUAAGCAUUGAACGGCCUGUUUUCUGGGGUCACUUCACCAGACUGAUCUUACCUUAGAAGGAAGUCCAGAGGAAGAGGAAAGUAAGGAGUCAGAAAUGACUCGUUCCCAGGUCUUGUGGUCUCUAAGGUGGACCUGGUCACUUUUCUGGAGCAAAUGAAGGAUCUCAGGAGUAUAAGGAGAAUGGAGACAUGGCCAUGUACCCAGGUGUGUAUCAAUGGAUGGAGCCAAUGGCUCAGGUGAGAGGUCCAAGCAUCAGCGAGGAAGUCAUUCUUCAUCCUGUGUUUUCGGAAGAUCUGCUUCAUUGGAAACGAUUUUGGAGAAGUCUGGAUUCAUUUCUGUUUCUGUCAUAGACGGCUAUCACCUGCUGCCUUCUUCCUGUUAAACCAUGA